rnacentral:rRNA from 1 species
GAUGAACGCUGGCGGCAUGCCUAAUACAUGCAAGUCGAACGAGAGGAAGGAAAGCUUGCUUUUCUGAAUCUAGUGGCGAACGGGUGAGUAACACGUAGGUAACCUGCCCAUGUGCCCGGGAUAACUUCUGGAAACGGAUGCUAAAACCGGAUAGGUAGCAGACAAGCAUUUGACUGCUAUUAAAGUGGCUAAGGCCAUGAACAUGGAUGGACCUGCGGUGCAUUAGCUAGUUGGUGAGGUAACGGCCCACCAAGGCGACGAUGCAUAGCCGGCCUGAGAGGGCGGACGGCCACAUUGGGACUGAGACACGGCCCAAACUCCUACGGGAGUCAGCAGUAGGGAAUUUUCGUCAAUGGGGGGAACCCUGAACGAGCAAUGCCGCGUGAGUGAGGAAGGUCUUCGGAUCGUAAAGCUCUGUUGUAAGAGAAAAACGACAUUCAUAGGGAAUGAUGAGUGAGUGAUGGUAUCUUACCAGAAAGUCACGGCUAACUACGUGCCAGCCGCCGCCGUAAAAC